rnacentral:rRNA from 1 species
CGGGGUGCACCAGGCGCGAAAACUUUACAAUGCGGGAAACCGUGAUAAGGGGACACCGAGUGCCAGCAUCCUAUGCUGGCUGUCCGGGUGUGUAAAAUACACCUGUUAGCAAGGGCCGGGCAAGACCGGUGCCAGCCGCCGCGGUAACACCGGCGGCCCGAGUGGUGAUCGUGAUUAUUGGGUCUAAAGGGUCCGUAGCCGGUUUGGUCAGUCCUCCGGGAAAUCUGACAGCUUAACUGUUAGGCUUUCGGAGGAUACUGCCAGACUUGGAACCGGGAGAGGUAAGAGGUACUACAGGGGUAGGAGUGAAAUCUUGUAAUCCCUGUGGGACCACCUGUGGCGAAGGCGUCUUACCAGAACGGGUUCGACGGUGAGGGACGAAAGCUGGGGGCACGAACCGGAUUAGAUACCCGGGUAGUCCCAGCCGUAAACGAUGCUCGCUAGGUGUCAGGCAUGGCGCGACCGUGUCUGGUGCCGCAGGGAAGCCGUGAAGCGAGCCACCUGGGAAGUACGGCCGCAAGGCUGAAACUUAAAGGAAUUGGCGGGGGAGCAC